rnacentral:misc_RNA from 1 species
UUAAAUUUUUUCCCUUUUUUCGUUUGCACCAAGACACACCCUCUCUCAUACUACAUAAACAAAUAUAUAACAUAAAGGAAGGUAUGCUCUCCGCACAAAAAUCAGACUAAUUUUUACACAUUCGCUGGACGAAAAUAAAUUGAGUUUAACAGUAUGCCUUUCGCGAGGUGGGUUUCCCCUCCUCGCGGAAGCAACGGGGUGAAGAGUACACAGAAGAGUCUAUAAUUUUAAUCAGAUUGACAUGCUCGAAAUGCACGGCGAUCCAAAAAAAAAAGUUAAAUUUGCUAAUGAUCCUUCCGCAGGUUCACCUACGGAAA